UAAUAAUGAGCUAUCACACUGUUUCAGUCAUUCACUUUCUUAACGGAACAUCAUAGCAGCGGUGUAAACCCCCAAGAAUGUCACAAAAUUAAACUGAAUCACUUACAAUCUCACAAUAUGGCACACGCACAGAUACUUUUCUUUGGAGUCUCGUCAAUCUUCUUUUCUGUUAUAUAAAGAAAAGUUUCAGCAGCUAAAAAAAAAGGGUACACCAUGAAUUAUUAACACCACAAUUCUGACUGAAAAUACUCGUCAAGUAUAUCAAAACAGGCGAUUGGACUUAUGUGUAUCUGCAAAUAGAUAAACUUUACAAGAAAGGAUGCCCCGCUAGGGGUCAACGAUGAUCCUCAACUAAGCAUUAUAACAAAGUCGGUUCAUAUCAAAGAUCAAAAGGUGCAAAUCUUUUUUAAAGUACAGCUAUUGAAGCGUAAGAUACACGAGAGACAAGUUUUUCCUGAGAACCGCAACUUAGCAUUAGACAAAAAUAGACAUUCGCGAAACAUUACUGGAGGGUAUUAAUGAAAGAGCUAACUCGAGAGUAAUUUUCAAAAACAAAAAUCCACUGGGAUAGGAUUCAGUUAAGCACCUUGACAUGUAUAUACAAGCAACCACACUUCAACAGGAAAGGUCAACCUGUUAGCACAUUUAGAUCUUCAGAAAUUUCAGCAAUCAGGCCAACCACAAACAACUAACAGACUUGCCUCUCUGGACGUAAGAAGAACGAG
rnacentral:lncRNA from 1 species